GCACAAGCGGUGGAGUAUGUGGUUAAUUCGACGCAACGCGCAGAACCUUACCUAGGCUUGACAUCCCGGGAAUUUGCUGGAAACAGUGAAGUGCCUUCAUUAGAAAGAGCCCGGUGACAGGUGCUGCAUGGUUGUCGUCAGCUCGUGCCGUGAGGUGUCGGGUUAAGUCCCAUAACGAGCGCAACCCUUACCGUUAGUUACCAUCAGGUUAAGCUGGGGACUCUAGCGGGACUGCCACCGUAAGGUGAGAGGAAGUGGGGAUGACGUCAAAUCAGCACGGCCCUUAUGUCCAGGGCUACACACGUGUUACAAUGGCCAGUACAAAGGGCAGCUACCGGGUGACCGGAUGCUAAUCUCUAAAGCUGGUCUCAGUUCGGAUCGAAGUCUGCAACCCGACUUCGUGAAGCUGGAUUCGCUAGUAAUCGCGCAUCAGCCAUGGCGCGGUGAAUACGUUCCCGGGCCUU
rnacentral:rRNA from 1 species